rnacentral:tRNA from 2 species
GCCCUCGUAGCUCAGUGGACUAGAGCACUUGGUUCCGGUCCAAGGUGUCGGAGGUUCGAAUCCUUUCGAGGGCG